rnacentral:rRNA from 1 species
CUACGGGAGGCAGCAGUGGGGAAUCUUGCGCAAUGGGCGAAAGCCUGACGCAGUAACGCCGCGUGGGGGAUGACGGCCUUCGGGUUGUAAACCUCUUUCGACAGGGACGAAGCUUUCGGGUGACGGUACCUGUAGAAGAAGCACCGGCUAACUACGUGCCAGCAGCCGCGGUAAUACGUAGGGUGCGAGCGUUGUCCGGAUUUAUUGGGCGUAAAGAGCUCGUAGGCGGUUUGUCGCGUCGGCCGUGAAAACCUGCAGCUUAACUGUGGGCGUGCGGUCGAUACGGGCAGACUUGAGUUCGGCAGGGGAGACUGGAAUUCCUGGUGUAGCGGUGAAAUGCGCAGAUAUCAGGAGGAACACCGGUGGCGAAGGCGGGUCUCUGGGCCGAUACUGACGCUGAGGAGCGAAAGCAUGGGGAGCGAACAGGAUUAGAUACCCUGGUAGUCCAUGCCGUAAACGUUGGGCGCUAGGUGUGGGGAUGGGUUCCACCGUUUCCGUGCCGUAGCUAACGCAUUAAGCGCCCCGCCUGGGGAGUACGGCCGCAAGGCUAAAACUCAAAGGAAUUGACG